CCUACGGGGGGCAGCAGUGAGGAAUAUUGGUCAAUGGGCGCUAGCCUGAACCAGCCAAGUAGCGUGAAGGAUGACUGCCCUAUGGGUUGUAAACUUCUUUUAUAUAGGAAUAAAGUGCAGCAUGUAUACUGCUUUGUAUGUACCUUAUGAAUAAGGAUCGGCUAACUCCGUGCCAGCAGCCGCGGUAAUACGGAGGAUCCGAGCGUUAUCCGGAUUUAUUGGGUUUAAAGGGAGCGUAGGCGGGUUGUUAAGUCAGUUUUGAAAGUUUGAGGAUCAACCGUAAAAUUGCAAUUGAUACUGGCAGCCUUGAGUACAGUAGAGGUAGGCGGAAUUCGUGGUGUAGCGGUGAAAUGCUUAGAUAUCACGAAGAACUCCGAUUGCGAAGGCAGCUGACUGGACUGUAACUGACGCUGAUGCUCGAAAGUGUGGGUAUCAAACAGGAGUAGAUACCCCGGUAGUC
rnacentral:rRNA from 1 species